GCCAGCGUGGCCUAGUGGCUAAGAGUGAUGACUGGGGAGCACAAGACCGGGGUUCGAGUCCCCGUUCGGGUU